AGCUCUCUCUCUCUCUCUCUCAAAUUGGACUCUCACUCUCUCUAAAAAAGAGAAUUAAAAAAAAGAGAAGAAGAAAAAGGAGGAACUACUGUUCCUCUUCUUGAAUCCAUCCGCCGUCAUAAUCCCUCCACCGUUUAAAUCCUUCGUCUUCGUCACACCACACUCGUCAAUCUUCCGUCAACGCCGACACCGCGAAACCCUUGAAGUCGCCGGACGAACAACGAACGGGUAACCCAACCCCAACCUCACCGAUCCUCAACCGCGUCCGCCGUUCUCCAACAACAACACGACGACGGUAACUCUUUGAAACGAAUUUUGUUUUCCCUCUUGUACAGUUCUGUUUUGCUUUGUGUAUAUGAGAAUAUUUUCCCGUUCUCGUUUCCGGAGUGCCGAUAUCCGGUAUUGAGUUUGCUGUCUUAUGCAUAUUGGCUGCAUUUCAUUUCUUUUUUUUGCUCGUUUGUUUUGAAUCAGUACGAGAGAUUUCCGGAUCUGGACAUCUCUGUAAAUAAUAUUAUAUAUUUGUUUGGUUUAUGAAUGUUUUGGUUGUAUUAUAAACCAGGUCCUGAAGUAGCAUUGGGUAGACUGGUUAUUAAUUUGUGAUAUUAGUAUUUAUCACAAUCUUCUCGUUAACAUCUCAAACACCGUUUUCCACUGUACCAGCUACGUCACCCAUAUCAAUCAUAAGCAAAUCUUUUUUAAUUUCAUUUGCAGUUGUGAUUUGUUUUGUUUUGGUUAUGAAUGUGGCUGAAAUUUUGUAAAUAAACUCAUAAAAAUUGUUGUUGAUUUUGUUAUAGACAGUGAUUGAAUCUUUAGUUA
rnacentral:lncRNA from 1 species